UACGAAGGGUGCAAACGUUGCUCGGAAUUAUUGGGCGUAAAGCGCACGUAGGCGGCUCUAUAAGUCGGAUGUGAAAUCCCUCGGCUUAACCAAGGAAGUGCAUCCGAAACUGUGGAGCUUGAGUACUUAAGAGGAUCGCGGAAUUCCCGGUGUAGAGGUGAAAUUCGUAGAUAUCGAGAGGAACACCAGUGGCGAAGGCGGCGAUCUGGGAAGAUACUGACGCUGAGGUGCGAAAGCGUGGGGAGCAAACAGG
rnacentral:rRNA from 1 species